CCGACGCUGAUGUCCUGGCGUCCCUGGCCACGCCCCGGAAGCGCCCCCUGGCGGUCGCAGUCGCGGUCCAGGGGCAGGGUUCCUGGCAAUACUUGUCUUGGCCGCGCUCAAAGGCUGGAGGCCCCGUCCGGGGUGUGCGCCUUCUCCCGCCCGGCGCCCUCGGCUCUCCCCUUCGGGCCUCCGGGGAAGCGUCCCCGCUAGGGGUGGGGUCUUGGGACUCCCUGGGGCUUCCGGAGCUGACCCGUGGGGGGUCUCCUGCCCUCAGUUCCUGCUGACCAAAGUCCUGCCGGAUCUGGCGCCUACGAGGACGUGGCGGGUGGAGCUCAGACCAGUGGGCUAGGUUUCAACCUGCGCAUUGGGAGGCCGAAGGGUCCCCGGGACCCGCCUGCUGAGUGGACCCGGGUGUAAGUCUACGCUAGUUCCUGCCUGUUGCCUCUUGUGAGCUCGGACUGCUGAUGCCCCGGCGCUGCUGAGCGCCGUGCGCAGAAUGGAAACAGUGGGCCUGGAUCAAAGUUAAAGUUUCUCAGGGUGGGAAAUGUGGGGGCUUUGCCCCAAUGACUGUAGCAUUCAAGGCUUGAGGCUGGAGGAGGUAGCUAGGGUAUAGUGGCUGGUGAGGCUGCACAGAGCAGAUUCAAGAAAGAAGAUCAGGAAGGGGCAUGACCCCUGAGUUAUGAAGGGGAGAAGGGACAGAUGAGCUUCCGGAGACUGCUCUCCUCACCAUAUAGCACUAGUCCAUCCUCAGCACCUCAGCCUCCCUCACUUGGACACUCAGGGGACCACACAGAGAAGUGGAUGGACACUUCGCCAUCCAGGCAGAACUAAGCCAGGCAUAACCACAGCCAAGCAGAUUAACCCCAGGCAGACCGAUAAAAAGACCUCCAGAUAGGCAGACAGACAGAUGGACCACCAACCUGGACAGACAGCCAAAGCUUCAGAGAUACAGUCCACAGGUGGACAAAGGGAUCCCCAGCCAGAGAGAGAGAGACCAGCCAACAGCUUGAUAGACCAGUGCAGCCAGAGAGACCACCAAACAGAGCCCCCAAAAGACAGACAUCUCUGCUAGCUGGACAGCCAGGUGGACCCCCUAAGUUAGUCAGAUUACUAGACAGAUAUAAACAGAUCCCCUGCUGAACAGAUACACAGAGUUCUCAGACCCCACCCCCACCCUCAGGUGGGCUGGCUGGCUGACAGACCUUCUGGCCAGACAGACUCCUAACCAACCAGAUGGACUGCCAGACAGGCAGACAUCAGCCACAUGGAAUCCUGACAUCCCAGCCAGCCGGCCAGACUCUCAUCUUGAUGUCUUGAUGGAUGGACCCCAGCUAGUCAGACAUGAUCCUCCAGAUUGACAGACAAGUCCCCCAAAUGAGUACACAUCUCCAGCUAUUCAGACAGAUGGACCCCCAGCAAAUCAGGCCCUAUCUAGGCAGACCCCAGCCAGACCCCCGCCAGACAGACUCCCAACCAGACUGACCCCUUGCUGUUCACACUGCCUGCCGAGUAGCUGGGACUACAGGUCUAAUUUUUUUUUUUUUUUUUAAGAAAUGAGUUUUUGCCAUGUUGCCCAGGCCGGUCUUGAACUCCCAACCUCAAGCAAUCCUCCUGCCUCAGCCUCCCAAAGUGCUGAGAUUACAGGUGUGAGCCACCAGGCUCAGCCCCCUAAGAUUUGAAACACUUUAAAUGGCCCAUGGUAGGGUUCCUGCUAGGAUAAAACAUUAAGCGG
rnacentral:sRNA from 1 species